UCGGCCUGAAUUGUUCUUUAGAUGAUUUUCAAUUUCAGGUAAAAAGAAGUACCAAUUUUUGGUUGUUAAUAGGUUUAUAUGAGAAAGUCUGAAAUUUGAAUUAUCGCUAAAAUGUUAAGAGAUCUCAUAAUUAACACUAUUGUUCACUUCUUUUUGUAUUGAAACAACAAACUGCACCAUUGGAGGAAACCAGCCUGAAUCAUUUUUUUUUGGAUGGUUUUCAAUUUCAGGUAAGAAUAAGUACCUACUUUUAGGUUGUUAGUAGAACACAGAAUUAACUCUGUUAUUUUUAUUUAUCUUUUCCCCCCGAAAAUAACAAACUGCAGCAUUUGAAUGACCUGAAUCUUUCAUGGGAUGAUUUUCAGUCUCAGGUAAUAAAAACAACCUAUUUUUAGGUUGUUAAGAGAACUCAUAAUUAACACUAUUGUUCUUUUCUAUUGUAUUGAAACAACAAACUUCACCAUUGGAGGAAACUGGCUUGAACUAUUUUUCAAUUUGAGUGGAAAUCAGCCUCAGUUUCAGGUAAGAAAAACGACCUAUUUUUAGGUUGCUAGUAGAACUCAUAAUUAACGCAGUUGUUCUUUUUAUUUGAAUUGAAACAACAAAUUGCACCACCGGAGGAAACCGGCCUGAUUCGUUCAUAGGAUGAUUUUCAGUUUCAGAGCUCUGUCCACAGGCACACAGCAGAUAUAUUACAAACAAGUUGGUUAUGCACAAUAUGAUUGACUUUUAAACUGGAAUGAGGGAAGAAAAUUGGCCUAGUGCCCUUAAACCACAACCAAAGUUUUCCACAAUACCACACAGCAUCAACCCAAGGUCCAGGCGGAGACAUUUGUUCAUGCCACCGCACAACAGCAGCCUCCAGGCGGAGCCAACGGGAAAUUACUAUAUUUGCGC